rnacentral:rRNA from 1 species
AUUGAACGCUGGCGGCAGGCCUAACACAUGCAAGUCGAGCGGUARCACAGGGAGCUUGCUCCCGGGUGACGAGCGGCGGACGGGUGAGUAAUGUCUGGGAAACUGCCUGAUGGAGGGGGAUAACUACUGGAAACGGUAGCUAAUACCGCAUAACGUCUUCGGACCAAAGUGGGGGACCUUCGGGCCUCAUGCCAUCAGAUGUGCCCAGAUGGGAUUAGCUAGUAGGUGGGGUAAAGGCUCACCUAGGCGACGAUCCCUAGCUGGUCUGAGAGGAUGACCAGCCACACUGGAACUGAGACACGGUCCAGACUCCUACGGGAGGCAGCAGUGGGGAAUAUUGCACAAUGGGCGCAAGCCUGAUGCAGCCAUGCCGCGUGUAUGAAGAAGGCCUUCGGGUUGUAAAGUACUUUCAGCGAGGAGGAAGGUGUUGUGGUUAAUAACCRCAGCAAUUGACGUUACUCGCAGAAGAAGCACCGGCUAACUCC